AGGUGGCAAGAAUGAUGAUUCAAUUAGAUGUGUGAAAGGAUAAUUCCUUUUUGAACUCAAUUAUUUGAGGCAUAUUUGAUUGUCUGACUUGUUGCUU